GACAGAGGGUGCAAACGUUGUUCGGAAUUACUGGGCGUAAAGCGCGCGCAGGCGGCCAUUCAAGUCAGGGGUGAAAGCCCAGAGCUCAACUCUGGAACUGCCCUUGAAACUGUAUGGCUUGAGUAUGAGAGAGGUGAGUGGAAUUCCCAGUGUAGAGGUGAAAUUCGAUAGAUAUUGGGAAGAACACCGGUGGCGAAGGCGGCUCACUGGCUCAUUACUGACGCUCAGGCGCGACAGCGUGGGGAUCAAACAGG
rnacentral:rRNA from 1 species